GGACUACCCGGGUUUCUAAUCCUGUUUGCUCCCCACGCUUUCGCGUCUCAGCGUCAGUUACGUCCCAGCGAGCUGCCUUCGCAAUCGGUGUUCCUCCUGAUAUCUGCGCAUUUCACCGCUACACCAGGAAUUCCACUCGCCUCUUCCGCACUCUAGCCCGACAGUAUCCACCGGCAUUCGAGGGUUGAGCCCCCGACUUUCACAGCGGACUUACCGGGCCGCCUACACGCUCUUUACGCCCAAUGAUUCCGGACAACGCUAGCCCCCUACGUAUUACCGCGGCGGCUGGCAC
rnacentral:misc_RNA from 1 species